rnacentral:misc_RNA from 1 species
AACAAAUCCAUUCUCAAAUCAUCAAAACUGGUCUCCACAAAACCCAGUUUGCACUAAGUAAGCUCAUCCAAUUUUGUGCCCUUUCACCCUCUGGUGAUCUCUCUUAUGCUCUUUUACUAUUCAAAACCAUUGAAAACCCCAAUCAUGUCAUUUGGAAUAAUAUUAUCAGGGGUCUUUCACUAAGUGAAUCCCCAAUUUUCGCUGUAGAAUAUUACGUUCGUAUGAUUUUAUCUGGUAUGAAUCCAAAUACUCAUACUUUUCCCUUCGUUUUGAAGUCUUGCGCAAAAAUCGGAGGUGCCCAUGAAGGGAAACAGAUCCAUGCACAUAUUUUGAAGCUUGGACUUGAAAAUGAUGCCUUUGUACAUACUUCUUUGAUUACCAUGUAUGCUCAAAAUGGUGAAUUGGAAAAUGCAAGAAUGGUUUUCAAAAAAAGUUCUAUGAGAGAUGCGGUUUCUUUCACUGCUUUGAUAACAGGGUAUGCUUCGAGGGGUUUCCUGGACGAGGCUCGAGAGCUUUUUGAUGAAAUUCCUGUUAGAGAUGUGGUGUCCUGGAAUGCUAUGAUAGCAGGAUAUGCUCAAAGUGGUCGAUUUGAAGAGGCAUUAGCAUUCUUUCAAGAGAUGCUUAGAACAACUGCCACACCAAAUGUGAGUACAAUGCUUAGUGUCCUAUCAGCUUGUGCUCAGUCAGGAUCCUUCGAGGCGAGCGAUUGGGUCCGUUCCAUGGUCGUGGAGCUUGGACUUGGAUCGAAUCUUAGGCUUGUAAAUGCAACUGUUGAUAUGUAUGCCAAGUGUGGAGACCUGGAAAAGGCUAACAAUUUGUUUGAGAGUAUACAAAGUAAGAAUGUGAUUUCAUGGAAUGUUAUGAUUGGAGGUUAUACUCAUAUGAGCUGCUAUAAGGAAGCCCUGGGGCUUUUUAGACGAAUGCUGGAGUCACAUGUAGAGCCUAAUGAUGUGACCUUGUUAAGCGUUCUUCCAGCUUGUGCUAACUUGGGUGCUCUUGGGCUUGGCAAAUGGAUUCAUGCUUAUAUUGACAAGAAAAGGAAAAUUUUGGCUAAUGGUGCUCUUUGGACAAGCCUCAUUGACAUGUAUGCAAAAUGUGGUAACAUAGAGGCAGCUAAACAAAUUUUUGAUGGUAUGAAUCCAAAAAACUUGGCUUCUUGGAAUGCAAUGAUUUCCGGGCUUGCUAUGCAUGGGCGUGCAGAUGUGGCUCUUAAUCUAUUCUCAAGAAUGACUAAUGAAGGGUUCAUACCAGAUGAUAUCACCUUUGUUGGUGUAUUAUCUGCAUGUAACCAUGCCGGUUUGCUAGAUCUUGGACGUCAGUAUUUUGGUUCAAUGAUCCAAGAUUACCAGGUUUCUCCCAAAUUGCAACACUAUGGAUGCAUGGUAGAUCUCCUAGUCCGAGCUGGAUUGUUUGAUGAAGCUGAAACCCUGAUGAAGAGUAUGGAAAUGAAACCAGAUGGGGCAAUCUGGGGUUCUCUGCUUGGAGCUUGUAAAGUUCACGGACGCGUUGAGUUGGCUGAAAUUGUUGCAAGACAUCUUUCUGAAGUGGAGCCUGAAAACUCCGGGGCUUAUGUGCUCUUAUCAAACAUCUACGCCGGAGCUGGUAGAUGGGAGGAUGUAGCGAAAAUAAGAACUAAGCUAAAUGAUAAGGGGAUGAAGAAAGUUCCUGGAUGUACGUCUAUUGAGGUGGAUAACAUAGUUCAUGAGUUCCUUGUUGGUGACAAGAUUCAUCCCCAGAGCAAAGAGAUUUACAAGAUGCUGGAUGAGAUAGAUAUCCUUUUGAAGAAGGCUGGAUUCGUACCGGAUACAUCUGAGGUGCUGUAUGAUAUGGAUGAGGAGUGGAAAGAAGGGGCUUUGAGUCAUCACAGUGAGAAGUUAGCCAUUGCUUUUGGUUUGAUCAAUACGAAGCCAGGGACAACAAUAAGAAUAAUCAAGAAUCUUCGUAUAUGUGGAAAUUGUCAUUCUGCUACCAAGCUAAUAUCCAAGAUCUUCAAUAGAGAAAUUAUUGCGAGGGACAGGAACCGUUUCCAUCAUUUCAAAGACGGUUCUUGCUCAUGUAAAGACUAUUGGUAAACUCGUGUUUGAUAGAAUGUGGAGUCUCUGUAGGAGAAGAAUCUGUAAAUUUUGUUUGUUAUCGAUUACUUUCAUAUAGAUGAAACUUAUUUUUCAUUCAUUCAAGCUGCUUAAUAGAUGCUCUUGAAAUUGGCAAACCCUUUAUUUAUACGUUAAUUGAUGAUGGAUUAAUUUACACAACUGAUGCUUAGAAUAGUAGAUAAAAUACGGCAUAAAUGGAUGUCCAUAUCGAAUAAAUCAUGCCUCAACGUUAGAGUUCUUGAAGGAGUUCCUACGUGCUGUAGCGAGGACAGUCUUGUCAGCAACUAUAAAAUAUGCUGCUCCAGCGACUGUAGAGAUUAUGAGAGCUUGAGCAGCGUGGUUCAUAUUGGCUCUUGCCCAAGGCAACAUUCUUGCACUGGCCAGAGUUGGAAUGGCAGUGGCAAUGGAAGCAACAACAGCUGCUUUAGCUCCUGCAACUACUCCUUCUGAUCAUCCGUCAAAAUUUGGAACAAAAGAUUAAGAG